rnacentral:tmRNA from 1 species
GGGGCUGAUAUAGCUUUCGACAGAAGGAUAUUAACAGAUUAUUUUGCAAGCCGACCAUACACGUACGUAUAUUUUUAAUUGCAAACCCAAUUAAAACAGCAUUUGCAAAUCUAAAGAGUGCUAUCACUCCUAAGUUUGCCUUUGCACCAAUCGCAGCCUAAUACGCGCGAUCAUCCCGUGUCAUCAGGUGACAUAUCGGCAGGGGGUGUUAUAUUUAUGUCACUUACUACGUAUGUGCGCAGUGGUGCAUACGCUAGGAAAGUUUUCCACGCAACAAUUCGGACAUUUCUGUUUAUCUUUUAGCCUGAAGAGUUGUAAAUUAUCAAGAUAAACUAAGCUUGUAGACGAAUAGUCAGUUACCUUUUGGACGCGGGGGCAGUACCCGCCAGCUCCACCA